rnacentral:rRNA from 1 species
AGGACGAACGCUGGCGGCGUGCUUAACACAUGCAAGUCGAACGGUAAGGCCCUUCGGGGUACACGAGUGGCGAACGGGUGAGUAACACGUGGGUGAUCUGCCCUGCACUUCGGGAUAAGCCUGGGAAACUGGGUCUAAUACCGGAUAGGACCAUGGACUUCACGGUUUGUGGUGGAAAGCUUUGCGGUGUGGGAUGGGCCCGCGGCCUAUCAGCUUGUUGGUGGGGUAAUGGCCUACCAAGGCGACGGCGGGUAGCCGGCCUGAGAGGGUGUCCGGCCACACUGGGACUGAGAUACGGCCCAGACUCCUACGGGAGGCAGCAGUGGGGAAUAUUGCACAAUGGGCGCAAGCCUGAUGCAGCGACGCCGCGUGAGGGAUGACGGCCUUCGGGUUGUAAACCUCUUUCAAUAGGGACGAAGCGCAAGUGACGGUACCUAUAGAAGAAGCACCGGCCAACUACGUG